AGCCCUAAAUCAAAUAAUUAUAAAAACAUAUUUAUUCGCCAGAGUAGUACCGGUAACAGCGGGAAACUCACAGGACUUGGCGGUGCUUUAUACACGACUAGAGGAGCCUAGUCCUAUAAUCGAUAAACCCUGAUAAACCUCACCAAUCCUUGCUAAUACGGUGUAAAUGCCGCCAUCUUCAGCAAACCCUAAAAAAGGGACAAAAGUUAGCUCAAUAAUAACACAUCAGACGUUAGGUCAAGGUGUAACCUAUGGAGUGGGAAGAAAUGGGGUACAUUUUCUACCCAAGAAAAUUUAAUACGAAAGCCAUUAUGAAAUUAAUAGCCAAAGGAGGAUUUAGCUGUGAACUAAGAAUAGAGUGAAUAGUUGAAUCAGGCCCUGAAGCAUGC
rnacentral:rRNA from 1 species